GAUCCUGGCUCAGGAUGAACGCUAGCUACAGGCUUAACACAUGCAAGUCGAGGGGAAACGACAUCGAAAGCUUGCUUUUGAUGGGCGUCGACCGGCGCACGGGUGAGUAACGCGUAUCCAACCUGCCCAUCACUUGGGAAUAACCUUGCGAAAGUAAGACUAAUGCCCAAUGAUAUCCCGCGAAGGCAUCCGAAUGGGAUUAAAGAUUUAAUCGGUGAUGGAUGGGGAUGCGUCUGAUUAG
rnacentral:rRNA from 1 species